CAGGGAAUCUUGCGCAAUGGGCGAAAGCCUGACGCAGCAACGCCGCGUGGGGGAAGAAGGCCUUCGGGUUGUAAACCCCUUUCAGGAGGGAAGAAAAUGACGGUACCUCCAGAAGAAGCACCGGCCAACUACGUGCCAGCAGCCGCGGUAAUACGUAGGGUGCGAGCGUUAUCCGGAAUCAUUGGGCGUAAAGAGCUCGUAGGCGGUUCAACAAGUCGGCUGUGAAAGUCCGGGGCUCAACCCCGGAAUUGCAGUCGAUACUGUUGUGACUUGAGUCCGGUAGAGGAGAAUGGAAUUCCCGGUGUAGCGGUGGAAUGCGCAGAUAUCGGGAGGAACACCAGUAGCGAAGGCGGUUCUCUGGGCCGGCACUGACGCUGAGGAGCGAAAGCGUGGGGAGCAAACAG
rnacentral:rRNA from 1 species